rnacentral:rRNA from 1 species
GACGAACGCUGGCGGCGUGCCUAAUACAUGCAAGUUGAGCGCUGAAGGUUGGUACUUGUACCAACUGGAUGAGCAGCGAACGGGUGAGUAACGCGUGGGGAAUCUGCCUUUGAGCGGGGGACAACAUUUGGAAACGAAUGCUAAUACCGCAUAAAAACUUUAAACACAAGUUUUAAGUUUGAAAGAUGCAGUUGCAUCACUCAAAGAUGAUCCCGCGUUGUAUUAGCUAGUUGGUGAGGUAAAGGCUCACCAAGGCGAUGAUACAUAGCCGACCUGAGAGGGGGAUCGGCCACAUUGGGACUGAGACACGGCCCAAACUCCUACGGGAGGCAGCAGUAGGGAAUCUUCGGCGAUGGACGAAAGUCUGACCGAGCAACGCCGCGUGAGUGAAGAAGGGUUUCGGAUCGUAAAACUCUGUUGGUAGAGAAGAACGUUGGUGAGAGUGGAAAGCUCAUCAAGUGACGGUAACUACCCAGAAAGGGACGGCUAACUACGUG